rnacentral:rRNA from 1 species
GACGAACGCUGGCGGCGUGCUUAACACAUGCAAGUCGAGCGGAGCGGCGAACGGGUGAGUAACGCGUGAGUAACUGCCCCCCCCUCUGGGAUAACAGUUGGAAACGGCUGCUAAUACCGGAUAGUGGUGGCUGACUCGCGUCCUAUGAGUUUGUUGGUGGGGUAGUGGCCUACCAAGGCGGCGACGGGUAGCCGGCCUGAGAGGGCGACCGGCCACAUUGGGCUGAGAUACGGACCAAAUUGCUACGGGGCGCAGCAGUGGGGAAUAUUGCACAAUGGGGGAAACCCUAAUGCGGCAACGCCGGGUGCGGAAUGACGGCCUUCGGGUUGUAAACCGCUUGCAGCCAUGACGCGGUAGUGGCAGAAGAAGCACCGGCUAACUACGUGCCAGCCGCCGCGGUAAUAC